GAUGAAGAACGUAGCAAAAUGCGAUACUUGGUGUGAAUUGCAGAAUCCCGUGAACCAUCGAGUCUUUGAACGCAAGUUGCGCCCGAAGCCGUCAGGCCGAGGGCACGCCUGCCUGGGCGUCACACGCCGUUGCCCCCCCGCGCCCCGCACCCAACUCUUUGGGAGCGACCGCGGGGCGGGCUGAUGAUGGCCUCCCGUGCGCUCCGCCGCGCGGUUGGCCCAAAUACCGAGUCCCCGGCGACGUGCGCCACGACGAUCGGUGGUUGAGAGACCUCUGUCGCAAGUCGUGCGCGCCCGUCGCGUCACGCGGGCUCGCAUAGCGCCUCGCGCCGCACCCGGUGCGGAGCUUUCAACGCGACCCCAGGUCAGGCGGGGUUACCCGCUGAAUUUAAGCAUAUCAAUAAGCGGAGGA
rnacentral:misc_RNA from 1 species